GAUGAACGCUGGCGGCGUGCCUAAUACAUGCAAGUCGAGCGAACAGACGAGGAGCUUGCUCCUCUGACGUUAGCGGCGGACGGGUGAGUAACACGUGGAUAACCUACCUAUAAGACUGGGAUAACUUCGGGAAACCGGAGCUAAUACCGGAUAAUAUAUCGAACCGCAUGGUUCAAUAGUGAAAGACGGUUUUGCUGUCACUUAUAGAUGGGUCCGCGCCGCAUUAGCUAGUUGGUAAGGUAACGGCUUACCAAGGCAACGAUGCGUAGCCGACCUGAGAGGGUGAUCGGCCACACUGGAACUGAGACACGGUCCAGACUCCUACGGGAGGCAGCAGUAGGGAAUCUUCCGCAAUGGGCGAAAGCCUGACGGAGCAACGCCGCGUGAGUGAUGAAGGUCUUCGGAUCGUAAAACUCUGUUAUUAGGGAAGAACAAAUGUGUAAGUAACUAUGCACGUCUUGACGGUACCUAAUCAGAAAGCCACGGCUAACUACGUG
rnacentral:rRNA from 1 species